rnacentral:rRNA from 1 species
GUCUCUGAAUUAACUGAGCACCAUCACAGCCUGAGCGGCCCCAACCUGGAAGCUAAGCAGUGUUCAGCCUGGCUGGGGCUGGGAUGGGAGACCAGCUGGGGAAACCAGAGGCUAUAGGCU